rnacentral:rRNA from 1 species
GACGAACGCUGGCGGCGUGCUUAACACAUGCAAGUCGAACGGAAAGGCCCCUUUGGGUGUACUCGAGUGGUGAACGGGUGAGUAACACGUGAGUAACCUGCCCUUGACUUCGGGACAAGUUCAGGAAACUGGGGCUAAUACCGGAAAGGAAUCCUUGCUGCAUGGUGGGGGUUGGAAAGCUUCGGCGGUUUUGGGUGGACUGGCGGCUUAUCAGCUUGUUGGUGGGGUAGUGGCUUACCAAGGCGUUGACGGGUAGCCGGCCUGAGGGAGUGAGAGGCGGCAUUGAGACUGAGGUACGGCCGAGGCUGCUACGGGUGGCAACAGUGGGGAAUAUUGAACAAGCGGCGGAGGCCUGAUGAAGAAGCGCCUCGUGUGGUAUGACGGCCUUGGUGUUGAAAACCGCUUUCAGCAGGGGCGAAGCUUGUGGUGACGGUACCUGAAGAAGAAGCACCGGCUAACUACGUG